GAUGAACGCUGGCGGCGUGCCUAAUACAUGCAAGUCGAACGGACAGACGAUGAGCUUGCGCCUCUGACGUUAGCGGAAGACGGGUGAGAAACACGUGGAUAACCUACCUAUAAGACUGGGAUCACUUCGGGAAACCGGAGAUAAUCCCAGAUGAUAUAUUGAACCACAUGGGUCGAUAGAGAGAGACGGUUUUGCUGUCACUUAUAGAUGGAUACGCGCCGCAUUAGCUAGUUGGUAAGGUAAAGGCUUACUAAGGCUACCAUGCGUAGCCGAGCUGAGGGGGGGGUAGGCCACACUGGAAGUGAGACACGGUCCAUACUACUGCGGGAGGCAGCAGUAGCGAAUCGUCCGCAAUGGUGGGAAGUCUUGCGGAGCAACCCCGCGUGAGUUAUGAAGGCCUUCGGAUCGUAAUACCGUGUUACGAGGGGUGAACAAAUGUGUAAGUAACUAUGCCCGGAUUGACGGUACCUAAUAAGAAAGCCACGGCUAACUACGUG
rnacentral:rRNA from 1 species